CCAGACUCCUACGGGAGGCAGCAGUCGGGAAUAUUGCGCAAUGGCGGAAACUCUGAUGCAGUGACACCGCGUAUAGGAAGAAGGUUUUCGGAUUGUAAACUAUUUUAGACAGGGAAGAAAAAAGACAGUACCUGUAGAAUAAGCUCCGGCUAACUACGUGCCAGCAGCCGCGGUAAUACGUAGGGGGCAAGCGUUAUCCGGAUUUACUGGGUGUAAAGGGGGCGCAGACGGCGAUGCAAACCAGGAGUGAAAGGCCGGGGCCCAACCCCGGGACUGCUCUUGGAACUGCGUGGCUGGAGUGCAGGAGGGGCAGGCGGAAUUCCUGGUGUAGCGGUGAAAUGCGUAGAUAUCAGGAGGAACACCGGUGGCGAAGGCGGCCUGCUGGACUGCAACUGACGUUGAGGCCCGAAAGCGUGGGGAGCAAACAGGAUUAGAUACCCCGGUAAA
rnacentral:rRNA from 1 species